rnacentral:rRNA from 1 species
GAUGAACGCUGGCGGCGUGCCUAAUACAUGCAAGUCGAGCGAACAGACGAGGAGCUUGCUCCUCUGACGUUAGCGGCGGACGGGUGAGUAACACGUGGAUAACCUACCUAUAAGACUGGGAUAACUUCGGGAAACCGGAGCUAAUACCGGAUAAUAUAUUGAACCGCAUGGUUCAAUAGUGAAAGACGGUUUUGCUGUCACUUAUAGAUGGAUCCGCGCCGCAUUAGCUAGUUGGUAAGGUAACGGCUUACCAAGGCAACGAUGCCUAGCCGACCUGAGAGGGUGAUCGGCCACACUGGAACUGAGACACGGUCCAGACUCCUACGGGAGGCAGCAGUAGGGAAUCUUCCGCAAUGGGCGAAAGCCUGACGGAGCAACGCCGCGUGAGUGAUGAAGGUCUUCGGAUCGUAAAACUCUGUUAUUAGGGAAGAACAAAUGUGUAAGUAACUAUGCACGUCUUGACGGUACCUAAUCAGAAAGCCACGGCUAACUACGUG